rnacentral:rRNA from 1 species
UACGGAGGGUGCGAGCGUUAAUCGGAAUUACUGGGCGUAAAGCGCGCGUAGGCGGCCAAAUAAGUCGAUUGUGAAAGCCCCGGGCUUAACCUGGGAAUUGCAGUUGAUACUGUUUGGCUAGAGUGUGGUAGAGGAAAGCAGAAUUCCCGGUGUAGCGGUGAAAUGCGUAGAUAUCGGGAGGAAUACCAGUGGCGAAGGCGGCUUUCUGGACCAACACUGACGCUCAGGUGCGAAAGCGUGGGUAGCAAACAGG